rnacentral:rRNA from 1 species
CCCUUUCCGGUUGAUCCUGGCGGAGGUCACUGCUAUCGGGGUUCGACUAAGCCAUGCAAGUCGAGAGGGGUAAAGCCCUCGGCGAACUGCUCAGUAACACGUGGAUAACCUGACCUAGGGUGGAGGAUAACCCCGGGAAACUGGGGAUAAUACUCCAUAGGCUACGGAAGCUGGAAUGCUCUGUAACCCAAAGCUCCGGCGCCCUAGGAUGGGUCUGCGGCCGAUUAGGUUGUUGUUGGGGUAACGGCCCAACAAGCCGAUCAUCGGUACGGGUUGUGGGAGCAAGAGCCCGGAGAUGGAUUCUGAGACAUGAAUCCAGGCCCUACGGGGCGCAGCAGGCGCGAAAACUUUACAAUGCGGGAAACCGUGAUAAGGGGACCCCGAGUGCCUGUACACGCAGGCUGUUCAGGUGUUUAAAACGCAUCUGGAGAAAGGGCCGGGCAAGACCGGUGCCAGCCGCCGCGGUAAUACCGGCGGCUCGAGUGGUGGCCACUAUUACUGGGCUUAAAGCGUCCGUAGCCGGGUUGUUAAGUCUCCCGGGAAAUCCAACGGCUCAACCGUUGGGCGUUCGGGGGAUACUGGCAAUCUAGGGACUGGGGGAGGUGAGAGGUACUCUAGGGGUAGGAGUGAAAUCCUGUAAUCCUUGGGGGACCACCUGUGGCGAAGGCGUCUCACCAGAACAGCUCCGACGGUGAGGGACGAAAGCUGGGGGAGCAAACCGGAUUAGAUACCCGGGUAGUCCCAGCUGUAAACGAUGCGCGUUAGGUGUAUCGGUGACUACGAGUCACCGAGGUGCCGAAGGGAAACCGUGAAACGUGCCGCCUGGGAAGUACGGCCGCAAGGCUGAAACUUAAAGGAAUUGGCGGGGGAGCACCACAACGGGUGGAGCCUGCGGUUUAAUUGGACUCAACGCCGGGAAGCUCACCGGGUAAGACAGCGGAGUGAUAGCCAGGCUGAAGACUUUGCUUGACCAGCUGAGAGGAGGUGCAUGGCCGUCGUCAGUUCGUACUGUGAAGCAUCCUGUUAAGUCAGGCAACGAGCGAGACCCA